GAUGAACGCUAGCGACAGGCUUAACACAUGCAAGUCGAGGGGCAGCACAGGUAGCAAUACCGGGUGGCGACCGGCGCACGGGUGAGUAACGCGUAUGCAACUUACCUAUCAGAGGGGGAUAACCCGGCGAAAGUCGGACUAAUACCGCAUGAAGCAGGGGUCCCGCAUGGGGAUAUUUGCUAAUGAUUCAUCGCUGAUAGAUAGGCAUGCGUUCCAUUAGGCAGUUGGCGGGGUAACGGCCCACCAAACCGACGAUGGCUGGUGGUUCUGAGAGGAAGGUCCCCCACAUUGGGACUGAGAUACGGACCAAACGACUACGGGAGGCAGCAGUGAGGAAUAUUGGUCAAGGGCCGAGAGGCUGAACCAACCAAGUCGCGUGAGGGAUGAAGGUUCUAUGGAUCGUAAACCUCUUUUAUAAGGGAAUAAAGUGCGGGACGUGUCCCGUUUUGUAUGUACCUUAUGAAUAAGGAUCGGCUAACUCCGUG
rnacentral:rRNA from 1 species